CCUACGGGUGGCAGCAGUGGGGAAUAUUGCACAAUGGGGGAAACUCUGAUGCAGCGAAGCCGCGUGAGUGAAGAAGUAAUUCGUUAUGUAAAGCUCUAUCAGCAGGGAAGAAAAUGACGGUACCUGAGUCAGAAGCCCCGGCUAACUACGUGCCAGCAGCCGCGGUAAUACGUAGGGGGCAAGCGUGAUCCGGAUUUACUGGGUGUAAAGGGAGCGUAGACGGCAGUGCAAGUCUGGAGUGAAAGGCGGGGGCUCAACCCCCGGACUGCUCUGGAAACUGUACGGCUGGAGUGCAGGAGAGGUAAGUGGAAUUCCUAGUGUAGCGGUGAAAUGCGUAGAUAUUAGGAGGAACACCAGUGGCGAAGGCGACUUACUGGACUGUAACUGACGUUGAGGCUCGAAAGCGUGGGGAGCAAACAGGAUUAGAUACCCUUGUAGUC
rnacentral:rRNA from 1 species